rnacentral:hammerhead_ribozyme from 1 species
AUCCAUUUGACAAGUUCCAAAUAGAACGAAACACGCGUCAAACUGGAU